CAGGGAACUGUUCGCACACACUGAGAACCGCGAGACAGAUGGACAUGAAGAGCAACACACAGAACCCCGAGAGAACCCCAAGGAGAACAUCGUGUAUGCCUCCAUCGCGCUCGCGAGACCAGCCUCCCCGGGAACUGCCCCCUGCCCGCCCGUCCACGCGCAGCCCCAGGAGGAGACUGUGUACUCCACCGUGAAGGCCAAAUGAGCCGGGUCACACACUCAGGGUCACCUUGGCCUUGCUGGGAAGACUCACGCUCCCCUGAUAGCCACGGCCGGGGACCGAAACUCACGGGCGCACACUCUGGCCUCAGAGAAACCGAGAAACUCCCAGUUCCCUUUUCCAGCUUCCUAGGCCUUUCUCACAGAAAUAAACAGACCCACAGAAUUGGCCUACAUGACUCUACCAGAGGACUGAUGUCACCUCAGCUUCCGGCCACUAACAAGCCCCCACUGUCACUCUUCCCUAUUGGCCCUCGGCAGGGGACUCCCCACAGGCUGGUGUCCAGUCCACACGCUGUGCUCCCACUGCUUCCCACGUCCACCGCACAGACACCAGCCGGACCCCAGACCGAAGACACGCAACUAACAGCAUGUGCUCAGUGUCCCCGCA